rnacentral:tRNA from 1 species
GGUGGUGGAAUGGUAGGACACAGAAGGACUUAAAAUCCUUUGGCCUUAACAGCCGUGCGGGUUCGAUCCCCGCCUCCGGCA